UACCUGUUAGUUUUCUACGCUAAGUACACAAGUCUCAUAAGACGAGAAAAAUAAUUAUAAAAAAAUAAAUUUCGGAAAUUCGACGAGGUGAGCAUUGCGAUCAGUAACAACGAAGCAUCGCACCAGAAAUAGAUUUCACGAAGCCUCGAGUACAUAAAUAAGCUGGUGUGCAUCAUUUAGUCCUGAAAACACGCAGAGCUGUCCGAUGCGAUCUUCAUCACCGAGGAAUGCACACUUCGGCUCUCGUUUUCGUGAAAGGAAGAAGAAAAGAUCGAUCACUGAAAAUCCGCUGCAUAGCUAAGUGGCGGGCGCAUAGCGAAGACGUCGCGGUUGGCCGGCGCUCGCGAGGACGAAGACGCCGUGCCGGGGGUAAAGCAACGAAGAAAAAAGGAUAAUUGUCGGGGGAUGCUGGGCGCUGCCUCCGCAGCUGGGUGCACGUGCCACGCUCCACCUGCUCUCGAGUGCGCACGAGUCCUAAUCUUUCGCCGGAGAUGCGAGCUUCUUUGGCGUGCGCGCGAGCAGGGUGGAGAACUCCUCUCUCGAUGCCGUCCACAGAUAAAAACCCAGUGCCAAGUUCUCCCCCAGGAACUGAUCGCGCUUCCAAAUACAUUUUUUCUCUUUGCUUUUUUAUUUUUUCAUUUUUUUCUUUCUUGUUGCUCUUUUCGAUCGAGUGCAUCUGCCAUGCAUAUGUUGAUUCGUCGCACUCGUUUCUUUCCGAAAAUCAGAAGAAACCAACUUCUACUACGUAGGAAUGAGAAAGUGAAAGUGAUCUCUCUGCCAUUGGACAUUUCCCUCUCGAUACGUGCUACUGCUACGUCUCGGCCAUCUCCCCCUCUCUCUCUCUCUCUCUCUCUCUCUCUCUCUCUCUCUCUCUCUCUCUCUCUCUCCCCCUUUCUCUUUCUCUGCUUUUCGGACGAUCGGUAUCUUCUUUAGCUCAGCUGUCGCGCUUCAUUAACGAGCGUGCGCGUGUACGACUGGGCUUUUCUCUUCCGUACGAUCGUAAAAAUAAUUUACGCCUACGUCGAAGUAGCGCGUGUCUCUCUUUUAUUUCGUGCCGGAAGAGAAAAAAACGACGUGCUCUCGUCUUUUUUCGGAUAAACCGUCCGUGCAGUCGCGACUGGUUUGCAAGAGGCGCCCACGAACGACAAGUCAACACGCAUAUUUUCCGCGAAAGAAUAGGAGAACGCGGGCACGGCGGACACACGUGCCGCGCUGAGAAAGCUCCUCGCUCAUCCCACCGUCUGUCCGCUCUCGAGGGCCUCUGGCGAAAGGGCAUCUGCGCGCGAAAGCGUGUUGGCCGGCGUAACAGCUGCGUUUUUUUCCUUUUUUUCGUGAGCCAAAAAACGAGCGGGCAAACGGUCUAAUCAACGAUGAAUGGGCGCCGUUAAUUUGAUAAUCAAACGAGAGCGGCUCCGCUUCUGCUCGACGAGAGACGCGCACGCACGCGCGCGCGCGCACAUAUAUAUAGGGAGAAACGAGGAAAGACGCUGCAGUUCCCAUCGAGUUUUCGCUCGACAAAAACGUCUCAAUAUCGCGUCGACGCAACGAGGGACAAAAAAGGAUUAAGGAUUACGAUCGCUAUCGAGUCGGAGCAAAUUUCAACGCGCGCGCGCGCGAGCGCAGGGAGAAGAAAGGGGAAGCGAUCGAUAUUUUCUUCUCAUCUUCUUUUUCCUUGGCCUGCCUCGCGAGAUUUCAAUCUACGCACUCUGUAUACGCGCGCAGCUCGGUCCAGCGGGCGUCAACAAUGCGCAAUCCUUUCGUUGGCCGGGGGGCCGAAGCCUCUUUAGCCGGCACGUCGAGGGUGGCUGCAGGCGCGGACAGGUACGGCCGGAGCAGCGACGCUUUUCCACGGGCUCGCUCAUGCGAGUGAUCGCUCGAGAAUUCCGAGGAAAAACUGCUCGCCGCCGGCCGGGAGAAAGAGUACAUGGGAAUUCUCUUUUUCAUUUCGCACGCGCUGCAUUAAAAGGUCCUUUAAGGCCAGACACAUAAAAAGAGAAAAAGAGAGAGAGAGAGGGAGGGCGCAUUGAAUUUCUUGAGAUGAAGUUUACCUUUCGCCUCGUGUUUGUGUACCUUUCAGAUUGAUUCGGUAAAGAGAAUUUCAUUCGAGGCAAAUUACUCGUUGGCGGAUAUAGAACUCGCUCGGCAGCAUUAGUAAUUCACGAUCGUCGUUCGUUUAACGGUCGACACGGAAGAACAUUAAUCACGUACGCUUUUUAAAAUCGUAGCUCCCACGAGAGCAUAUGGGAAAUAUGUUAAUCACGUGUGAAAAGCUCCGACAGCUCGGGUAAGCAGACCGAACCCUUUUGGACGGUGAACGAAAGCAUCAAUCCUUUUUUCUUUCUCCAAAGACCUUCUUAAUUUUCAUCGGCCGUCAUGUGGGAUGCCCCCUCGACGCUGUAGACGCAAGAAAAAAAACCGAGAAAAAAAGAGCAGACGGCACCGCUCUCUCUCUCUCUCUCUCUCUUUCUCUCUCUCUCUCACUCUCACUCUCUCUCUCUCUUUCUGAUGUCUUGGAAGGGUUACAUUGAUUCAAUACGACACCGAAUAUGUCUUUGUGUUUGUUUUUUUUCCCUCUUUCUAAAUUAUAGGGAUGUGGCGUGAAAAUGAUAUGUGAUUAAAUUCUAUUGAUAUGGUAAACAAGAUGUGUAUGCAAAGUGGCAUUAAUUUAACUAUCUUUCGUGAAACAUAUUUUGGUAGAAAAAAGCAAGACGCUACGUAUUGAAAUAUAAAUCGACAGUGUUUGGAUCAAUCGAUCGACGAAUGAAUCAUUAUCCAAAGUGGAAGGUAAAGUAGCAGCAGCAGCAGCAGCAGAAGUAGUAGUAGUAGCAGCAGCAGCAGAGAAAAUUCAUCAAAGGAACUGUUUUAGACCUCCGGGAAAUCCAACUUAUUCGGGCGUAUACAACGCGUCGAUACGGUUAAUAAAAAAAAACCAUUAGCCGGGUCUUUAUAAGAUAUUAGACGCGGCACGCUCUCGCUCGCGUUGGAAAACCCAUAGUAUUAAUCAAGCGCCACCUUUCGAGCGCGAGUGCGGCGACUAGCCACGUGAUAGAUGAGGACCUCGUGGCAGCGCCAUGUGGUCUUCUUCUUUAGACUCUCGAAAAUAACCCUAAUUUCGGGCAAUAUGUCGACGAGUACCAAAACAGGUUUGCGGAAGAAAAAAAAAACGUAACAAUCUCGAGGCGAGUUCUGAGACUUCGAAUUGCGAUGGUUCGACUCGUCGAGUGGAAAGUUACGUUUAAUUACGCAAGCCCGGCGCACGUAACAUAAUCAUAACCAAUUCCCCCAAGACGCGCGGCAGCCGUUCAACGCGCGCAAGCAACAAAAACGGGGCGUCCCUUUGGCGGUAACAUCGCGAGCGUGUCAUUUGCAUGCGUAAUGCUCCUCCUUCAAUCGCUCUCUCUCUCUCUCUCUCUCUCUCUCUCUCUCUCUCUCUCUCUCUCUCUCUCUCUCUCUCUCUCUCUCUCUCUCUCUCUCUCUCUAUUUAUUCCACUCUUCUUUCCUCCCACGCGACCGGUACGCUCGCCACGACGUAAUUGCAGUGUAACGUAUGUAUCGAACGCGCGCGGCUUUAUACUUUUCCGAUCGCCGAGCUCUAUACACCCCCGGUUUGUCGAUCUGUUAUGCCCGCUCAGACCGGCGAUAGCCUUUACGACGGCGUUUUUUCUUGUACGCUUCGGACUAACGUCUCUGUUUCGUCGGCGGACGAACGGACGUUUCGUUCGUCCCGACCUCGCGAUGAUUUUGUUGUCGGACGCGGUGGCAUUAUCGAGGGCUCCGCGAGAUGCUUGGUGAAAAAUCGAGAACACCCUGUAAAGAACUUGUUAACGAAUCGUAACUCGCGGCAUUUCUGUGAGAAAGUUUUCUGACCAUGCAAUAGUAUUAUUCAGUUUUACUCGACGUGUAUUGCCUUUACUUUAUUGCAGAAGGCUCGCGAUAUUUUCCCGUACACUUGUUAAAUCACUAAUAAAAAGCCGCCGCUAUUGCGCGCGAUAAGCCGUUCUCGGUCUUGCACAUUUGCAUUCUCGGGACACGCGCACGCUCGAAGGUAUUGACAAUCGAGCGAUGACAGCAGUUUACGCCGAGUUGGAAAAAUUCAACGAUCCACAAGCUGUCCAUCAUCAUUCUCACAACUUUUAUUUUGCUCUUGCUAAACGGCCGAGGUAAUGACAGUCGCGUGGCGCACGUGUAAACGCGCGUGUGUCGCGCGCGUGUUCUCACUCUUUUGAAGAAUUAGGGGAGUAUCGCACAUGUUGCAGAACGCGGCAGACGCCUAAAUUGCAAGGUCUCCUCGGAGCGUAUCGACGGAUUCAAGGUCUCGCUCCUUUUUUUUUCUCUUCCCCCUUUUUUCUGCUCGCUGCUCUCUUGUGCAGAACGCCAAGGCAAAGGAAGGAGACGAAAGAAAUGAGCAAGUAUCAAUUUGCGUCUUUACAGGCAGCAACAACAGGUGGAAUCCAGUGCGGUUCCGUUCACCCACUUACGCCGCGCGCAUAACGGACUCGGAUGCUUUUGCAAAUUAAAAAAAACAGGAGACGCGUGCAUGCCUCGAUGUAUAAUUUCAAAUACUCUAUAGGAACUAUCCAGCAAGCCGGCAAUUAGACCCACAUAUCAAAGAAAUAAGUGGAAGUUGCUGAUCCAUUCAAAGAUUUUUUUCCAUAGCAUCGCGAGACGAAAGCGUUAAUUAAAAAAGAAGAAGAAGAAGAAAAAGAAGACGAUGUUAGUUAAGUACUAUCAUUCGAAAGACAUGAACAAUUUCUACGAAAAUAUUUUAUUGUAACGUUAUCGCGCGCUGCUCGACGACGUGACAGUUACACGAGGACAAGGCUUUGUUGGAAAUACAUGUACAUUGCCAUAACGAGCGAUCCGUCAAAUUAUUAGGAAACGAGUGCUGCUCAAAUGGCGAAUCACGACGAGCUUUAUCUGCAUUAGUCACGGACGCGAUGACGUCUAUUAUCGCGCUUGUAACCGGAGGUAUAAAUAGUAAGAUAAACUCCGUGAUAGACGAGUAACAGAACAGACGUUCGGAAAUACGCAACUUCGCACACGUGAAUAUCCAGCAAGAUGAAGUUGACCUCGUUAGCCCUGCUUUUCAUUAUCACCGUAGUCGUCCACGAGGUCUUCUCUGAAAAAUCCACUGAUACUCGCUGCGGACCAUUGUAUAGCCGUAAGAGACGAGGAAUAGAGAGCGAGUAUGGGAGCGUGCAAACAUUUUACCGGUACGUUAAAAGUACAAACUGCUGCGUGGCAUACGAAUCAGCGUCGACUAAUAACAUGGGAUUCAAGACUCAAAACGAGUGCGAAACCACUUGCAUGCAAAAUCACACAUGAGUCCUGUGAAACGGUUAUCAUGCAAAAUUGAAAAUGCAUUAAAAAUGUAACUUUAAAAGUCUUAAUAAAAACACUAAUAAACAUGA